rnacentral:rRNA from 1 species
AGCGAACGCUGGCGGCAGGCCUAACACAUGCAAGUCGAACGGUCUCUUCGGAGCUAGUGGCGGACGGGUGAGUAACACGUGGGAACGUGCCUUUAGGUUCGGAAUAAGCCCGGGAAACUGGGUCUAAUACCGAAUGUGCCCUUCGGGGGAAAGAUUUAUCGCCUUUAGAGCGGCCCGCGUCUGAUUAGCUUGUUGGUGAGGUAAUGGCUCACCAAGGCGACGAUCAGUAGCUGGUCUGAGAGGAUGACCAGCCACAUUGGGACUGAGACACGGCCCAAACUCCUACGGGAGGCAGCAGCGGGGAAUCUUGCGCAAUGGGCGAAAGCCUGACGCAGCCAUGCCGCGUGGAUGAUGAAGGUCUUAGGAUUGUAAAAUCCUUUCACCGGUGAAGAUAAUGACUGUAGCCGGAGAAGAAGCCCCGGCUAACUUCGUGCCAGCCGCCGCCGUAACAC